GACGAACGCUGGCGGCGUGCCUAAUACAUGCAAGUAGAACGCUGAAGCUUGGUGCUUGCACCGAGCGGAUGAGUUGCGAACGGGUGAGUCACGCGUAGGUAACCUGCCUGGUAGCGGGGGAUAACUAUUGGAAACGAUAGCUAAUACCGCAUAAGAGUAGAUGUUGCAUGACAUUUGCUUAAAAGGUGCAAUUGCAUCACUACCAGAUGGACCUGCGUUGUAUUAGCUAGUUGGUGAGGUAACGGCUCACCAAGGCAACGAUACAUAGCCGACCUGAGAGGGUGAUCGGCCACACUGGGACGGAGACACGGCCCAGACUCCUACGGGAGGCAGCAGUAGGGAAUCUUCGGCAAUGGACGGAAGUCUGACCGAGCAACGCCGCGUGAGUGAAGAAGGUUUUCGGAUCGUAAAGCUCUGUUGUAAGAGAAGAACGAGUGUGAGAGUGGAAAGUUCACACUGUGACGGUAUCUUACCAGAAAGGGACGGCUAACUACGUG
rnacentral:rRNA from 1 species